GAUGAACGCUGGCGGCGUGUCUAAUACAUGCAAGUCGAGCGAACAGAUAAGGAGCUUGCGCCUUGGACGAUAGCGGAGGACGGGUGAGUAACACGUGGGUAACGUACCUAUAUGACUGGUAUAACUCCGGGAAACCGGGGAAAAUGCGGGAUAAGAUUUAGAACCGCAGGGUUCUAAGGAGAAAGACGGUGUUGCUAUCACUAAUAGAGGGACCCGAGCCGUAUUGGCUAGUCGGUAAGGUAAAGGCCUACCAAGGGAACGAUACGUAGGCGACGUCAGUGGGUGGUAGGCCACCUGGGAACGGAGACAGCGUCCAUACUCCUACGGGACGCAGCAGUCGGGAACGGUCCGCAGUGGGCGAAAGCAUGACGGAGCAAGGGCGCGUGAGUGAUGAAGGCCUUCGGUUCGUAAAGACCGGCUAUGAGGUAUGAACAACUGUGUAAUGUAACGUGGCGGGCUUGACGGUACCGAAUAAGAAAGCCCCGGCUAACUACGUG
rnacentral:rRNA from 1 species